UCGAGCUCUGAAUAUAUUUCAUUCCGACAUUUCAUUUUGUCGAUAAUAACAUUUUUCUUCUUUCUGAACAUUUCUAUGGGCAGAUAUUAUCCUCCAAGCUAUAUGAUAUGGACAACACAUGAUUUAUGGAACGAAAAGAGCCGAGCAUAGUGUGCUGCCGCGCCGUCGAUUUCCACGAAGUGGCCAGCCCGAGCCGAUUCCCCAAUGUGUCAAUGACUACGUCCGCUGCGUGAUCCUGUGGGACAUGACCAAUCCAUUGCCUUAUCAACACAUCGAGGGUGAAUUGAGUUCAGAGCUUUGAGCAAACAAUUGCGAUUUUGUAGCUGCAGUGGUGCUAUUCUUUAUCAUUUGGUAUGUCAUUACUUCCUACCUACUUGAAUUUCUCUAUUCCCAAUUCACGGGAUUUUUACUUUUUGACAUUUCCCUAAAUGAUUAUACACAACUCUGAUAAUGCGUGCCACCCAGUUUUCGUUCUCUAUAAGAACUGAGAAGUACAUAUGCACUUUUACGACAUAUAGGUUCAUAUAGAUGUGUUUGGACGACAUAUAGGGAGAACGAUAGGAUCAGAUGUCUGUGACAUAGAAAAAAAAAUACCGACAUGUACAUACUGUUCUUUCAUAGUACAUGCCAUGUAUACAAUGUUCACAUGCAAACAGAGCUACAAAAAUAUAUUAGUAGAUGAACCACAGUGAUAGCUCAUGUACCAUCGGAAGCAACAGAGCUACAAAAAUAUAUUAGUAGAUGUCCUCUGGUUUGAUAUUUUGAAGGCACGAACAGAAAGAAGCGCACCUGAUAUGCUAUAAAAUGGACAUUUCAUGGCAGAAUAAUAGGUGGUUAUAAAUUGUGGUACUGUCCAGGUUCCAACAAUUCAUUAAAACUCUUAUUUAUCUGCAAGAUACACACAAUAGGAAAAGCAACUGACAGAAUAUGGCACAAUGAAAGGAAAAUAAUACUACUAGAAAUAUUUGUGAGAUCAUGAAGAUGUCAACACACAUCCAUCCGUUUACUUGUGCCAAACCUGCAACUAAGUAGUUAGAAACACAUCAUGUCUGUUUAGAUAUGUAUUGAAAAGCCAGGAUUAUAAAAUUCAAAUAAGGGGCAAAUAAGAGACUAUAUAGGACAAAAAUAAAUAACAUUGACUGUGCCUGCUUUGGGGCCGCAUCAUAAAUAUUUCUCUAAUGUAGAACACUCCAGUGAAUUUUACAACAACGGAGUGACCCAGGCAGUGUGCAAUACUUAUGUAGGAAAACAAAGCCUAGUUUAGAUGUAGUAGAUGAUUGAUUACAA